rnacentral:rRNA from 1 species
CCUACGGAGGCAGCAGUGGGGAAUUUUGGACAAUGGGCGCAAGCCUGAUCCAGCAAUGCCGCGUGAGUGAAGAAGGCCUUCGGGUUGUAAAGCUCUUUUGUCAGGGAAGAAACGGCUGAGGCUAAUAUCCUCGGCUAAUGACGGUACCUGAAGAAUAAGCACCGGCUAACUACGUGCCAGCAGCCGCGGUAAUACGUAGGGUGCAAGCGUUAAUCGGAAUUACUGGGCGUAAAGCGUGCGCAGGCGGUUUUGUAAGUCUGUCGUGAAAGCCCCGGGCUUAACCUGGGAAUUGCGAUGGAGACUGCAAGGCUUGAAUCUGGCAGAGGGGGGUAGAAUUCCACGUGUAGCAGUGAAAUGCGUAGAGAUGUGGAGGAACACCGAUGGCGAAGGCAGCCCCCUGGGUCAAGAUUGACGCUCAUGCACGAAAGCGUGGGGAGCAAACAGGAUUAGAUACCCUGGUAGUCCACGCCCUAAACGAUGUCUACUAGUUGUCGGGUCUUAAUUGACUUGGUAACGCAGCUAACGCGUGAAGUAGACCGCCUGGGGAGUACGGUCGCAAGNUUAAAACGUUAAAGAGUAGUAGACGUGNGAGAGCGACGACGACGACGACGGAGGGAGGAGG